rnacentral:rRNA from 1 species
AGUGAACGCUGGCGGUAGGCCUAACACAUGCAAGUCGAACGGCAGCACAGUAAGAGCUUGCUCUUACGGGUGGCGAGUGGCAGACGGGUGAGGAAUACAUCGGAAUCUACUUUUUCGUGGGGGAUAACGUAGGGAAACUUACGCUAAUACCGCAUACGACCUACGGGUGAAAGCAGGGGAUCUUCGGACCUUGCGCGAUUGAAUGAGCCGAUGUCGGAUUAGCUAGUUGGCGGGGUAAAGGCCCACCAAGGCGACGAUCCGUAGCUGGUCUGAGAGGAUGAUCAGCCACACUGGAACUGAGACACGGUCCAGACUCCUACGGGAGGCAGCAGUGGGGAAUAUUGGACAAUGGGCGCAAGCCUGAUCCAGCCAUACCGCGUGGGUGAAGAAGGCCUUCGGGUUGUAAAGCCCUUUUGUUGGGAAAGAAAAGCAGCAGGUUAAUAUCCCGCUGUUCUGACGGUACCCAAAGAAUAAGCACCGGCUAACUUCGU